GGCUCUGUGGCAGGGAGUGGGAGGGUGAUUAACAGGGGAAGAAUUAGGAAAGAGGACACGCAAGACCACAGUAAGAGAUGGAAAUAAGAGAAUAUUCCUGAUUUCCACUGGAUGACUUUGACUGGUAUGAUUUCAUUCUCUGAAAGUGUUAACCAGGGUGCAGCAUGGCCAGAAACCAUUCCGAGCCUCAUGAAGUGGGCAAGUCAGGUUUGGUCAUUUUUGGUAAUGUCAUUGCAUGUACACAGUUUAAGACAGAGCAUCUGGUGAUUCUCGGACCUUCAAGCAAGUGUCACAUCUCAGGUGAACCUUGGCAGUUUUAAGAUGAACAAAGUAAUCAAAGCAAAAAUGUCAAAUAAUAAUAAUAAUAAUGAUAUCAGAAGAAUGUCCAGUGCCAUGGUUGGAUUCCCAGAAGGCAGCAUCUGCUCAUGCCAUCAACAACAUGGUGCCAUUUCAGUCAUCCUCUUUUUGUCCCAAAGACAGAAAAAAAAUAGAAAAAAGAAAGAGAAAAAGACACCACGAACCGUCUAUCCUCCUGGUAAUACAAAUACACCUGUAAAUAAACAUGUCAAUGUCUACACACAACGCACAUUUAUGCAGAAUCCAUCCUCUCGGUGCUUCCGUAGUUAUCAAGUAAAAGUCCUUCUAAGCCUAAGAAAUGAUAGUAUUAAUUCAGUCUUGGGGUGUGGGGGGAAAGGUGGACUAUCAUCAAAUAAAAAAGGCGAGGCUAAUUAAGUGACAUCCACUGGGGACUGGGAAAAGAAGAGACUUCUUGUGGGAAAGUAAUUAUAUCUUCAUUGACCCUCCUGGGGUACCCCCAGUGGCAGGGACUCUGCCUCGCGGUGUGACAUCUCCUUUCGGGAUGAGCAGCCAGUCACCUCGAGAAGCCCCCUUCUCCAUGGAUGCGUUUUCUAAUCAUUUCACAUGAUUGAGCCUCCAGCAAGUGAUGCUUUACUUAAUUCCUUUCCGCCUGUAGGGUGUGAGGUUUGGAGGGCCUCUCGUCAAAACUUUGGAGGGCUCUGUCAGUUUGAAAAGAACAUGACCUUUAAAUUGUAUCAGUAUGUUUGCUGGUGCAUAAGGGAGAGGAAAAGGUUCGUCCUGAUGGAAAACCACUCAGAAGCCAAGGAGUAAUUCAGAGGGAACCAGCCCAGGAAGAAUCAAGAAAGCUGCCCACAGUGUCAUUCUUCAGCUGAGAAAAGAGAGAGUUGACUAACUCCUCGGACUGGAGUGAGGACUCACAGAGGUGGUGAGAAGCCAUCCUCUCUUGAAUGGGGGCUCCCACUGUACAUCUGGCACCCACUUCACAGAUUCUGGGGGAUGUCAACACCAGCACUGCUGAGCUGUGUGACCUUGAGCAAGACAGUUAGCCUCUCUGAACCUCAGUGUCCUUCUCUGUAGGCUGGAGAUUGAUAUACCUUCAUUAUCGGGGUAUGAGAGUGUUAUAAAUCCAUGAACUGGAAGAUGCUUUCUUAUAACUCAGAGAAAAGAGAUGAAAAUGAAUCAAAGAACAGGAAGGAGACAAGCUCAGGAGAGUCACCCUAAGAAGGAUGUGUGGAAGACUUGACUGGAGGAUCAAAAUGUGUCGGGGGAAGGUGUACAAGGAGGAGUAAGGACACAGAUGUCCUGACUUCACACAGUGGGGGAUUAGAAGCCACCAUCAAACACAGAUGAAACAGGAAUAAAAGUAGUAGUACAUUACUUAAGCUUUAAAAGGGUAAGACUCCUGGGAAUUUGGAAGCUGAGACUUGAGGCAAGUAUUUAGGAUUUGCUGUCUCACCUCCCUGCUAUGACAGUCCUUAAUUAAUGGAGAUGAUGGAGAACAGCUUGCUGGGCUGAGUGGCAGGAGCCAUGCAGCUGCUGGGGCUGGAGUGGGUCAGGAAGCUUCAUCAAUCUGGGACACAUGACGUGCUUGGUGGUGGCGGAGCCUGACGCAUCCCUCUUCAUCGACAUUGUGUCAAUAGGAGCAGAGGCAUUUAGCUGUGUAAACACAGAGCUUCAGUGGCAGCACCCUAAAUGCUUAGCUGAUAGAUCCGGAAUUAAAUACAGACCUAGAAACUGGAGUUGGAAAACUUCCUGGCAGCACUCCUUCCCUGCCAUCCCGGUGAUCCCCUUCUGGAUGGAGGGUGUGGAGCUCAGCACAUUCACGUCUGCAGUUCUCAGAGAACCAAGUGUUAAGGAAUGUCAGGGAAGGAAGAAGGCAGCCAGCCAGGAAGGGGAGGUCCUGGCCUGAGCACGCCAGGCACAGAGGGAUAGAGGGUAGGGAGGAAACUGCACCUGUCUCCAACCCUCGACCCCAGCCCCGAAACACGACAUUGGCUGAAACAGAUUAAAAGCAUAAAAUGGCCCAAAGAAAUGGGAGAAGGUUGGCCUCUGGUCGGGCAAACAUGAGGGCAUGAAGAUAUAUAAUGUCCCACACGGGAGGAAACCCUUGCCGGGCCCCUCAGGAUUUAUAACAAGCUCACCUGAAGGAGAAACUUCAGGGGCACUUACACCAUCAGAUACCUAGAAAGGAGCUGUCAUUUCCUCACUGAAGAGUUUGCAAGCAGAUGGUAAAAGGGGUUUAAUUUGAAAACACUGAAACAUCGUGUUCGCUCAAAACCAUGACAAUUGCAGUUUUAUUGUCUCCACUCAGGAAAAUGUGUGUCUGGAUCAUCUUGUGGCCCGAAUGGGGAGAAAAGCAGCACAAGAAUGGAAUAGUACAGUGGCUACGAACACAGAAACCACACUCCAGGCCCAGUCCCCGGCAGUGGCCUCCAGGACCCACUCUGAGCUAGAUCACAUCAGUGAUGGGCUGGCCAAUCUUUAAGGAGAAUGACUCUACUCUUAGGAAGCCAGCAGGUUGGAGGAGGAAACACAUUCAAAUCCCGAGCACAAGGAGCUGGGAGAAGACCGGUUAUGGGAGCGGCAUUCCUGGAAGCUCUGAAGUCACAGCCCCACUGAUGAAAGGAUGUAAGAACCUAAGAGUGGAAACCUGCCCCUGGGAUUCAUAUGGUGUCCCCUCAGGACUCAAACCCUGGUCUGGUAUGCUCAGUAAAUGAAUGAAUAUACCCACUACACCCCAGGUUAUUUUUUUUCUGAAGACAUCGUUUGACACAGAGGGAACACUGUAGAUAAGAAGCCCAACCCUGUUAGAAAGCAGAAGGGUUUGUUUGGGAAAAGGAAACAAAAUAUAUUUUUAAGCUCCAUAAACAUAUGAUGAAUGCUAACAAGGUAUUUUCAAAAUAAGAAGCACAUAGAAACAGCUUAUGUUUCUGGUCAAAUGAAGUUGUAAUCAAAUCGUUAUCAAAGCAAAAAAAAAGAGAGGAAGAAAUCAAAAUGAGUCAGAAGAGUUUUUGGAAAGAUUCAGCAACUUAACUGACUUGAAGAGAUUUCCCUUGUCUCAGUCUUACUGCUGCUUCUAGGGGAACACAGUUUUGCACGGGAAUCGAGGCCAACUUGCAACCCACAGGCACUCUGGAGGAACAAAGAAAGUAUCGCCUGCAACUCACCACGGUCUCUCUCUCUUAAGCCCUUGCUCUUGCCAGAAGAAGUUUCACACAAAGGUUUGCCUGCGAGGCUGCGCUUUCCUCUCCAGAUCAGCAGAAACAACUUACCAGCAGAAAUACUUAAUGACGGAGCCAAGACUGGCACAGCCACGCGGUCACAGCUUUGUUCCCAAGAAGCAAGCCAAUUAGCAGCCCUGGUUAUUAUUUACAUUUCCCGCAAUAUAUCACUAAAAUUGUGUUGAUGAUUUAUCAUUUAUAUUAUGUUAUUGUCAGCAUAAUUUAUUCAGAUCAUGCUGAGAUACCUGGAAAAUUAAGUAAAAGAAAAAGAAGUGGCAUUGAAUUCAUCGGGUUUGAAAGAUAUUUCUCAGCUUCUUUUUUCUCUCCCUCUCUUUCUCUCUCUCUCUCUCUUUUAAUGAGGAUAGAUGUUAAGAAAAAUCAUGGAUCACUUAGCUAUUAAAUUGUUCCAGGAUCAUCUGCAUUAAAAGUUUGCUCAGUAUUCUUUUGUGAGAGAACAUGGCUUGGGCGUUCAUUUGGAUUUUCUUCUGGAACCUUUUCUUUCAGUCUAUUAUUUCAAAGUAAAAAAAAAAGGAAAUGCAAUCCUCUUUAGUUUAGAGCAAAGCAGAGUGGAUUAAUGAGGGGCUGGAGGCUUCUCUUCCAAUUUAUAAAACAUCCUUAUCUUCUGCCUUAUAUUCUAUUUGCCCCACCCUCUGGGAAAUAAUUGUUGCUUAUCAGAAUUAGAGAUAAAAUAUUCCAGUUGUUGAAGCCAUUCAUCAUCUAGGCAUUCUAGAAAAGCAGUUACUGAACUAGAGGCAGCAUUUUGAGCAUCAGAGCUCUGGGUUCUAGUCCCAGGUCUGUCCAGGCUUUGUGUGAUUCCAGGAGUCACUGAAGCUAUCCUGCUUCUGUUUCCCCAGCAGUGGGAUUCAUGGAUGUCCAGGAUCAGGCUUGCUGGGUCUGCCCCAGGUCUUCAGAAUCAGACUGCCUGGGGAAGGCACAUGGAGGUCUUUUUGACAGGUGUCAUAGGUGAUACUUCUACACACUUCAGUUAGAAAAGUCAUUGGGCUUACAUAUGCCUGCAGCCACUUCCAGCUCCAGUCUUCCUAGAGUUCUACGGACUCUAAUUAUAUGGCAUGUUUUGCAUAUUUCUGAAACUUCAUAUGGGAAACAAACUUUUGGAAAUUGAUUCAUUUAAGAAUCUGUGGCCAGGCGUGGUGGCUCACGACUGUAAUCCCAGCACUUUGGGAGGCUGA
rnacentral:lncRNA from 1 species